UUCAGUGCUGAGCCUGGCUAAAUGUGUACUGUGGGGCUGCAGUGAGUGGCUUGAAAAGUCUUGAAAAGGUCUCCAAGGAUGCGGAUUUCCUGACCUGUGCAGUAGGUGCCUCUGCCCAGGGAAAGGCUCCCUCAGGAAAACUGCCAGAGCUGCUGGUUGUCCUUGGGUUCCCAAACACCCUCUGCUUAGUUGAAAGAAAUCAAAGGAAAUCUGUCCUUAUUUUCUCACGUAUUUGUGACAGCAUGUAUGAAGUGCCAAGACUUAGGAGGAAAAGGAGAUGAUGAUACGUUUCAGAUCCAGUGAGGCACAGCUGAAAAAACUGAUCUAAUGAAAUACCAGAAGAACACUGUGGGGCACAGAAGCCUUGUGAAGCUGUUGGUAAUAGGGCUUUGAUCUGGGAUUAGAUCUGUGUGUAUAGAUCUGUAUAUAUAUAGCAAUUGCUUAUUCAUGGCAGAAUGGUUUCUUGAAGUUCCUGCAAACCUGGAAACAGGUUUUUGAAUCUCAAUUGAUAAUCCUGUGUGGAAGCUGUCAGGCGUGGGGCACUCCAGCAUGUUUAGAGCUCCUACACAUUUCCAAAUUGAGAAGUGUGAGAGAGAGUCAUCUUAGCAAGAGAAAAGCUCCCUCCUGUGGAAGAGAUGAACCUCUGCUGUGACAAGGAGCAACCAUAAGGGCAUUACACCGUGAUUUUAAAUUAGCAGGGAAAGGGGUUACAAGCACGGUGGGACUUUGCAAAUACUGGAAUGCAAAACCCUGCUCCUGUUAUUUUUUUUCUCAAAGUAAAUUUUUCAUAUUUUGUAUGGCUUAUAUCUAUAACUGUAUGUCAAUUAUAACUGUUGUCUGUGAGUAAAACUGGAUUGUUUAAAUAAUAUAAUGUGGCCACAGUGAACUCUAUAGUGUUAAAGGGAUCUAAAGCAGCUGAUAUUAUUAAGAUUUUGCUUUCUGUAGCUCUUUGCUG